rnacentral:lncRNA from 1 species
UCGAUGGGAACUUAAAAAAAAAAGCAAAACUGAUACCAGGUCCUCUUAUACUCGGAUUUGACCUUUUAUAGUGUGGACCUGUAAUGACGAUGGAAUGAACCUACAAGGACGCACUUUAAUAGGAAACUUUAUAAGUUGUUAUAAAUUGUGAAUCCUUCUUUGAUAUAUUAAUUUUUGUCACCUUGACAUUUUGAUUACGCCCC